rnacentral:rRNA from 1 species
UACGAAGGGGGCUAGCGUUGCUCGGAAUCACUGGGCGUAAAGCGCACGUAGGCGGAUCUUUAAGUCAGGGGUGAAAUCCCAAGGCUCAACCUUGGAACUGCCUUUGAUACUGGGAUCUCGAGUCCGGAAGAGGUGAGUGGAACUGCGAGUGUAGAGGUGAAAUUCGUAGAUAUUCGCAAGAACACCAGUGGCGAAGGCGGCUCACUGGUCCGGUACUGACGCUGAGGUGCGAAAGCGUGGGGAGCAAACAGG